UACGGAGGGUGCAAGCGUUGUCCGGAUUUAUUGGGUUUAAAGGGUGCGUAGGCGGUCUUUUAAGUCAGUGGUGAAAUCCUCCAGCUUAACUGGAGAACUGCCAUUGAUACUGAAAGACUUGAGUACAGAGAGGUAGGCGGAAUUGACAGUGUAGCGGUGAAAUGCAUAGAUAUUGUCAAGAACACCGAUUGCGAAGGCAGCUUACUAGACUGUAACUGACGCUGAGGCACGAAAAGUGCGGGGAUCAAACAGG
rnacentral:rRNA from 1 species